rnacentral:rRNA from 1 species
CUACGGGAGGCAGCAGUGAGGAAUAUUGCACAAUGGGGGGAACCCUGAUGCAGCAACGCCGCGUGGAGGAUGACGCAUUUCGGUGUGUAAACUCCUUUUAUAUGUCAAGAAAAUGACGGUAGCAUAUGAAUAAGCACCGGCUAACUCCGUGCCAGCAGCCGCGGUAAUACGGAGGGUGCAAGCGUUACUCGGAAUCACUGGGCGUAAAGGACGCGUAGGCGAGUUGGAAAGUCAGGCGUGAAAUCCUACAGCUUAACUGUAGAACUGCACUUGAAACUUCUAAUCUAGAGUAUGGGAGGGGGAGAUGGAAUUAGUGGUGUAGGGGUAAAAUCCGUAGAUAUCACUAGGAAUACCUAAAGCGAAGGCGAUCUCCUGGAACAUUACUGACGCUAAGGCGUGAAAGCGUGGGGAGCAAACAGGAUUAGAUACCCGAGUAGUC